rnacentral:rRNA from 1 species
CCUGACGGAGCAACGCCGCGUGAGGGACGAAGGCCUCUGGGCUGUAAACCUCUUUUCUCAAGGAAGAAGAUAUGACGGUACUUGAGGAAUAAGCCACGGCUAAUUCCGUGCCAGCAGCCGCGGUAAUACGGGAGUGGCAAGCGUUAUCCGGAAUUAUUGGGCGUAAAGCGUCCGCAGGCGGCCUUCCAAGUCUGCUGUUAAAGCGUGGAGCUUAACUCCAUUAUGGCAGUGGAAACUGUAAGGCUUGAGUAUGGUAGGGGCAGAGGGAAUUCCCGGUGUAGCGGUGAAAUGCGUAGAUAUCGGGAAGAACACCAGUGGCGAAGGCGCUCUGCUGGGCCAUUACUGACGCUCAUGGACGAAAGCCAGGGGAGCGAAAGGGAUUAGAUACCCCUGUAGUCCUGGCCGUAAACGAUGAACACUAGGUGUCGGGGGAAUCGACCCCUUCGGUGUCGUAGCUAACGCGUUAAGUGUUCCGCCUGGGGAGUACGCACGCAAGUGUGAAACUCAAAGGAAUUGACGGGGGCCCGCACAAGCGGUGGAGUAUGUGGUUUAAUUCGAUGCAACGCGAAGAACCUUACCAGGGUUUGACAUCCUGCGAACCUCUUAGAAAUUUGAGGGUGCCUUCGGGAAUGCAGUGACAGGUGGUGCAUGGCUGUCGUCAGCUCGUGUCGUGAGAUGUUGGGUUAAGUCCCGCAACGAGCGCAACCCACGUUUUUAGUUGCCAGCAUUUAGUUGGGCACUCUAGAAAGACCGCCGGUGAUAAACCGGAGGAAGGUGUGGAUGACGUCAAGUCAUCAUGCCUCUUACACCCUGGGCUACACACGUACUACAAUGCUACGGACAAAGGGCAGCAAACUCGCGAGAGCUAGCAAAUCCCAUAAACCGUGGCUCAGUUCAGAUCGUAGCUGCAACUCGCCUACGUGAAGUAGAAUCGCUAGUAAUCGCAGUCAGCAUACUGCGGUGAAUAC